UAGUGAUGAUAACAACGAGGACUUCAAUUGUCUCUGCUCUUCAGGGUUCCACGGGCAAUCAUGUGAAACCAACACAGAUGAUUGUCUGGUACCAGAUGGACACAUUGGACGAUGUUCAUCAAAUGGAAUCUGCAUAGAUCUAGUCAAUAAUUGGCGCUGCGAAUGUUUUAAUGGAUGGGCCGGAAGAAGCUGUCAAGUCAACAUUUGGUGUUCUGGACCUUUACGCGACCCGUGCAGACCCCAUGGAUACUGUAGCCAAACCACGGAUUCGUACACUUGCAGCUGUUUUAACGGUUAUACGGGAUAUAAUUGCACAACUAAUAUAGACGAUUGUCUUGGUCACGAAUGCGAGAACGGUGCCACUUGUGUGGACGGAAUUGGCUCUUACACCUGUCAGUGCGUCACAGGCUACACAGGUGCCACGUGCCAGACGUUGAUUGACAACUGUGCCUCCAACCCCUGCAGUGAACACGGCACGUGUGAGAAUGGUAUCGGGACAUACACAUGUAACUGUGCAGAGGGGUUCACGGGGAACACAUGUG